GCGCAUAGGAGCUAGAUUGGCGCGUCGUGUAUUCAAAAUAGGAACGUUAGUAAUGGAUGGGAGCUGUGUACGGUGGGGUGGAUGUGUGCGUGCGAGAGAGCCAGCGACCCUCCCCCGCGCCGCCCCCGCUCGCCGACGCCAACCAAGCGAGUGGCUCGCGUUUACACAAUCCGUUGGUUCGGAGCACCGACGAUGCGCGUUGCGCUUCGCCCUUCUCGCGACGACGAUCAGCGCGCGUACACGUUUCGUCGACUGUUUUUUUUUUUCGAUACUCUUGCGACUACAGCGCGCUCUCGACGUUUUGGGAAUUCUUAUAAGAAUUUUUGGAACAUACUGUACCAUCAACUAUUUUUUUUUCGCAAGAUGAUAGUGCACCUGGAAAAGUGAUCAUUCCGAAUAUGCUCUGAUGACAUAUUUACCAACUCUAUCAUCAAAAUUAUUCUCAAGAAUUAAUUUUGGAUUUAUAUAAAUCCAAAUUUAAAUAAUUAAAAUCUGAUAACUACUUAUAAAAUAAAAAUGUGAAAUUUUUGUGAAGAUUAUAGUGAUAUUUGACAAGUGACAGAAAAUUGGAGCGAAACAGAGCGCAAAUUACAGUGAUUAUGAAAUAUGGGAAAAAUUAAAUGAAAUUAAACGAAAAUUUAAAACAAAAAUAUCAACACACCACAAAUGACAUUAAAUAAACUGAAUAAGAACGAGUAAAAUCUGCGAAUAAGGUUGCCGACCCCGAUGCGCUGUGUGCUUUGCGGUGAGGUUAUUCAACGUUUUUAUAUUGUAAUUGUAGUGGUUAUUGAUAUUUUAGUUUUUAGUGUCCCCGAUAUCCGUUAUGCAUAUCGGCUUUAUACGGGCCCUAGAAGAGCGUGGUCUCAUUGUCUUUCUGACCGUCAGGAGUGAGUCACUCCAUUGUUGGAUUACACAAUAGAUGUCUUUGUGCAUUGUGCCCCGGGAACCCUGGUGUUACGUAUUUUGUAAUAAUUAGUCGACGUCUAUUGGACUCGCUAAUGACACGUAUUGCCGUCUGCACGAAACCUCUAUACGUGUAAAAUACUAUACGUGCAUAAUUAGAGGUUAACUCCAAAACAAAGGCUAGCGUCAUCUUUGAGUCAAUGCACCGUGCUCUGUGGUUAUGAAUACUAAACAAAAUAUUUUUGUUACAAAAAGGUGUACCUUUGAUCGCUACCAAAAGAUUUUUUUAUGAUAUGAAGCAAUAUCUCAAACGGCACGCGUUGUAGAGGAACAUUGCGCGAAUUCAACUACAAAGGGCAAAAAAAAAUCUAAAAGGGUCUGGCCAGAAUAUAAUAGAUAUGCGAGAACUCAAUCGCGUACGCUCAACAAUAAAACGGAAUGAUCUCUUCGAAAUUCAAAAAUUCGAGGCGAAUUUGGACUCUGUAUCAUUGAUGGUAACAACUAUUUUUUUUACAAUUUCGAAUUUCGAAACCCCUUCAAAUUUCGAACGCAACUUGUAGGCGGGAAAGGUGGUCGUUCGUUUAAAUAUGUCAAAACAAAUUAGCAGUGUGUGUUAGCGUGUGUGCGAAUGUACACACACGGACAAAUAUUCUAACUUAUUCUAACAGUAUAGGUGCGAGAAGGAUAGCGUUAAUCAACGAAUAUUGAAUCUAAUUUAUUGGCGUAGUUUUCCCCUUUAGGCGUUUAGAUCGAUGUGUGGGCAACGAAUAUGGAGUUUUGAAAUUGUUUGUGAUAUUUUUCGUUUUGUUUAUGAUAUGUCUAAUAGCAGUUGCCGUAGAAAACUUUUUAAAUAAUUAUAAAAGCAUUUAGAUUUUUAUAUUUACUAUAAAAUAGAUAUAUAUCUAAGGUUUUCUUUGUAAAAUGAGCCGCAUUUUUUUAUUCAUUAUUCUUAUAACACGAGUAGUUAAAUAAAUUGGCUCAAAUCUUAUUUGUUUUUUAUUGUUCAUAUAAUGGAACUUGCACCACAAAUCAACAACACACGCGACCCCACGAAACUAAAUUAAGUGCAACUUCGAAAAAGCGAAUAAACUGAGCAAUCAUCAUGGGUAGAAACAAUUAUGGUGUUGGUAUCGGAUGUGGUUCACGCCCGGGCAAAAACGUUCAACCCAGUUCAUGCCCAGGUGUAAACCCAUCUCUGGUUGGUAUCGGUACAAAACCUACCAAAAACAUUAUUUCUUUUAAAUUAUAUUUCAUAAUGAAAAAAAUUGCAAGAAAUAAACCUCUUGAGUGUAUUCAUUAUAUGUGUAUCAGAAGUGCUGCGUGUUUCAAAAAUAUACAUAACAUUUUAAUUCUGUGCUAUAAAUAACCUUAUCUUUUUGUGGACAGACAACAGAUCCAAUUAAAAAAUAUUUCUCUGCCUACUUUAUCUCUAGAUCUGUAGUCGCGUUACUUGUAUUUUUUUAAUAGUCUGUGGUAUUAAUUUUAUUUAAAUAAAAAAUAUAUACGAAAGCAAACCAAAGGCUAUAUCAUUACAAUGUAAUUAUUUCUUUACAAAAUGUACUAAGUAAACCUAAAAGCAGAAGUAGUUAACAAGAUAAUUACGUUAAAAGUGGCCAGCGAGACCGCAAAAGUGAAUAAAUAAAAAUAAAACGAAUUUCGUUUGCUUAUAAGUAAUUCAAAUAUCGAAUGAUGAGUCGAGUGGGUGGCGACGUUCGAUGAUGGGGUAAAAAUUACCCUCAGGGGUAAUUCGUGGGGUACGCGCCCUAUAUGAACGGUAUGCGUGUGUGUAUUAUGUGUUGGUGUGUUGGAGGGACUGAUAAUAGUAUAUUUCCUGUCUGGUAGAUCCCUCUCGCAAUGCGAUGCUCUUGAAAUGAGAAAUGUUCUGGUAGAUAGUGAUUGUAUAGUAGGGGAGCUAAACAUUUAUACGAAAAUGAAUAAAAAGCAAAUGCGAAUAAUUUCACAAAUUAAUUUAGUAAAAAUAACAUAUUUAAUGUGAAUGAGACUACGUUAAAGUUGGCGGAUAACAGCUGAAACGUGAGUCGACCAAAAAAAAAUCCAAAAAUAUAAUUUAUAUACUUUACACUUUUAUUAGCGUCCAUAAAUGUAACAAAUAACGUACGAAAUGGCCAUUAAAAUGCUGCCAUUAAACGCCUCCCUGAAACGACUGUUUGCAUUUUAGCGGCCCGACAAAUAGCAAGUGCAUUCUCGAACGAAACAGCGCCAUAAUUCAAAAUAAAAUGGCGAGGCGAAACAAAGCAGUCGGAGAGUCUAAACUGCAACUUAACACAUAAUUACAGAAAACGCUUAGCUUGCCCCUACGAGGGUUCCCGACGUAUUAUUUCAUUUUCAAUGUUCGUGUUGCAAUAUUGUAUUUCAUGUGUAAGAAUACGAUUAAUGAAACUCGCUUCGCACUGGCCGCAAAUUAUUCUCUUUUAUUUUUAUUUAAACGCAAAAUAUCUUUGUCUAUGUAAGGAGAGCCGGGCAUUUAGCCCCUACAAUGUUUUUAAUUGCGCCUAUAAAAUUUGAAUAUGGAACGCGCGGGAAAUGUCGUCGCCAUAAACGUACGCAUUCAUGCAAUGGCUUUUGGCAGAGGCGACUUUUUCCUUGGCAAAUGGCUUGUAUUGUAUCCGCUGCAUUAAAAUACUCCACCUAAUCUUUAAGGCACUCGUGAUGUGUGGUAUGUGAGAAAGUAUUUACGUAGUCGAAUCGCAUGAGCAGUAUUCUCGCUUCGUCGCAUUGUGAGUAGGUUGCUUUUAAGGCUAUUUGUUUGGCAGUACUGACUGUGCGUUCCAAGUUUGAAUUCUGAAAAAGGAGUGGCUCUACGCUUUCAAAGAUAGAAGAUUGUUUACACACAGAAUUUGAAGUAAUGAGACAAAUAGAAGUGCUAUCUGAUAUCUUCGAAAAAUAAUUUGAAUGCUAGUUAAUUUAAUUAGUUCUAAGGAAUUUAUGUGGAUUAUGGCAGGCACAUACGACACUUCUAUUAAUACACUUAAAUAUUUUUUCCACAAACGCCCUUAGACAUUGGAAUUCCAAGAACGCCCUGGAAAGAGAUAGCACUACAGCCUUGUACAGGCCAGACUCCGAUGUAUAGAGCAGGCCAUUGCACCACUUCUCGUCUUCUUAUUUCCUAUUAUAUUUUAGCAUCCAGCAUCUUUGGCGUCCACGUCGGUGGCAGUCAUCCCUUUCCCCUAUUUCCUUCAGAUAUACGCCACUUCUGUUGUCUAAAUAUUCAAAUCUCGGUGUUCACGCGUCAGUCGUAUUUAUUGGGCAUUCGCGUCGCGUCAGUGACUACGAGGAAACUGGUGGCUAGCACGCAACGUUCACUUAUCAAGUUUCUAAGGAAUCCGUUUUCGCUACUUGAGUUAUAUGUUAUGUAUCGUGUGUAACCGCACUUAUUGUGUGUUGCGUGGCUGUUCGAUUGAGACGUUCAUACAUAUUUAGCUGGAAUUAGGCUAGGGAAAUUGGUUUAAUCGCGUUACGGGUAACUUUCAUUCGCACGUGUCACACGUAUACUGCGUGAUGUUGUUCACCUGGAUUUGUGUGUUUGGACUCGAAUUGUUUAAUUAAGUUUUGAGUAAAUUUAUAAAUGUUUUAAUACUUGUCUAAUUGAUUUAAGAAUGUGAAUAAGUCUGAAAUUCUUAUUAGAAUUAGGAAAUAAUUUAUUGGUUAUUCUAAAUUCAUAAUUUGAACGAAUAGGUCCAUGUUUCUGACUGAUGAUCUUUAUAUCUUUAUAUAACGUUAAAAUCAAAUUAAAAAUAAAUCAUUUUUUUCUUUUUUGACAUAAGUUUUGAAUUUAAACAUUUAAGAACACUCGUGGUCAGCUUCUGACAGACCACGGUCUGUUCAAUAACAACCUUGAAUUUUUGUGCAGACUAGGUAUUUUCCUAUUAACUCAAAAUUUCAAAGAAAACAAUAAGCAACGUAAAUGCUGCCGCAAAUCCGGCUAGGGUUAUUUAUCUACAUCCCUUUCCCAUCUACAUCUGUAACAGGGGCCGGGUAAGCCUCAGAUUUGCGAACUAAUUUCAACAGCAAAUCCUUAAAAUGAGAGGGAUUUGUUUGACUCGUCUCUCGCCCGCCAUCUUCAUGUAACGAUAUCGCCAGGCAGAUCUUAUUUUGCACAUAAAUAACUAAAGAGAAAUAGUAGUAAACAUUUUAACAAUUGUACAAUUGCGUCCGAAAUUCACGUGUGCGAAAAAUACGAAUAUUAGUAAUACCUAUUUCUAAAUAUUGACUUUUGUAUAAUAUUUUUUGAUAAAGUUUAAAUUUGUGUUAUAUAUUUUCAUUGUUAUGGUAAUAAUUUCUCAUACAAUUUUUUUCUUAUUGGAAACUUAGUCAAGAAGAAGGUUUGGUAAAUCUUACUAACUGCUGGAAUUCCGUCGAAUAUCAUUUUAAAUCGAGGUCGUUCUGUGUCACUCAUUCUACACGUAUUGAAAAUAAAAAUAAA